ACAAGUACAGUGAUGGAAAGAUGAAAAGAACUUUGAAAAGAGAGUGAAAAAGUACGUGAAAUUGUUGAAAGGGAAGGGCAUUUGAUCAGGCAUGGUGUUUUGCGGCACUCGCUCCUCGUGGGUGGGUUCACCGCAGCUCACUGGGCCAGCAUCAGUUUUGGUGGCAGCAUAAACCCUUGGGAAUGUGACUUUGUCUUCGGAGGAAGUGUUAUAGCCCAAGGUCAUACUGCCAACCGGGACUGAGGACUGCGGCUUCGGCCAAGGAUGCUGGCAUAAUGGUUAAAUGCCGCCCGUCU
rnacentral:rRNA from 1 species